UGCCUGCCUGGCCGCGGAGGGCGCGGCCGGGCUGCUCGCCGCGGCGGGCGGCCGUUCCGUGACGGCCGCCGGGCGGC
rnacentral:tRNA from 1 species